rnacentral:lncRNA from 1 species
AGUGUGACUUUUUCAGAAGGUGAGUUACGCGUUCCGGGCAGUCAGUGCACUGCUCAGCAGGAGGAGGUCCUGCAGGUGGUGGCUCAGCAGGAGGAGGUCCUGCAGGUGGUGCUGCAAGGGGUCGGCUGGCCGCAGGGGGGCCGGCAGCAGGGGGACUGCACAGACACAGGCUGGCAGCAGGUGGUGGCUCAGCAGGAGGAGGUCCUGCAGGUGGUGCUGCAAGGGGUCGGCUGGCCGCAGGGGGGCCGGCAGCAGGGGGACUGCACAGACACAGGCUGGCAGCAGGUGGUGGCCCAGCAGCAGGGCCUGCACACC